rnacentral:tRNA from 1 species
GGAUGGGUGGCCGAGCGGUCUAAGGCGCGCGCCUGGAAAGUGCGUAUACGUCAAAAGCGUAUCGUGGGUUCGAAUCCCACCCUGUCCGCCA